AGAAAAACCAGAACGUGAGAUUUGGGGAAAAAGAGAAAAACAAGGGUUUGAGAAGAAUUGCCACCGUGAGAAACUCCAACCAGAACCGGGGCAAAAUUCGAUCGAGAAAUUUGAGCUACCUUCAAUCCAAUCAGGUAGCGAGGAGUAAAGACUUAGUAGCUUAUUGGUGUCGUCGCUCUGAUACGUAGCACUCGGGGGGAUUGAACGCUUGUUUGAAUUACGUUGUUAUUUCCUUUAAAGUUGAACUCAAGUUGUUAUCUUGAGAAGUUGUUUUGAUUUAAGUUGUCUAUUUUAAAAAGAUGCUAUGAUGUUCGGAGUUUAUGUUGAUACUUGAAUUACGUUGAAUAAUCCGCUGCGAGUAUUUUAAUUAAAAUUUUAUUUGA